CUCUCCAGAAGAAUGCAUUACUUCACUCUAUUCAGACUUUAGGGUGAUGUUUAAUAUUGAACUGCUACAAGGUCCUUGUCCUGGUUCUGACAUUCUCCAUUUGAACGUCUGCCCUAUCAACUUUCGAUUGUACUGUCUGUGCCUACCAUGGUGACCACGGGUGACGGGGAAUCAGGGUUCGAUUCCGGAGAGGGAGCCUGAGAAACGGCUACCACAUCCAAGGAAGGCAGCAGGCGCACAAAUUACCCCAUCCCGCCGGGGGAGGGGUGAGCGAG
rfam:Balearica pavonina gibbericeps contig26125, whole genome shotgun sequence.